UACGGGGGGGGCAAGCGUUGUUCGGAAUUACUGGGCGUAAAGGGCGCGUAGGCGGUCGUGACAAGUCACUUGUGAAAUCUCCGGGCUUAACUCGGAACGGUCAAGUGAUACUGUCGGACUAGAGUACAGAAGGGGCAACUGGAAUUCUCGGUGUAGCGGUGAAAUGCGUAGAUAUCGUGAGGAACACCAGAGGCGAAGGCGACUACCUGGACAAUAGCUGACACUCAGGCACGAAAGCGUGGGGAGCCAAAGGG
rnacentral:rRNA from 1 species